UACAGAGGGGGCAAGCGUUAUUCGGAAUUAUUGGGCGUAAAGGGCGCGUAGGCGGCCUGGCAAGUGGAAGGUGAAAUCCCUCGGCUUAACCGAGGAACUGCCCUCCAAACUGCUUGGCUUGAGUCCGGGAGAGGUGAGUGGAAUUCCCAGUGUAGCGGUGAAAUGCGUAGAUAUUGGGAGGAACACCAGUGGCGAAGGCGGCUCACUGGACCGGAACUGACGCUGAGGCGCGAAAGCGUGGUGAGCAAACGGG
rnacentral:rRNA from 1 species